rnacentral:rRNA from 1 species
GAUGAACGCUGGCGGCGUGCCUAAUACAUGCAAGUCGAGCGAACGGACGAGAAGCUUGCUUCUCUGAUGUUAACGGCGGACGGGUGAGUAACACGUGGAUAACCUACCUAUAAGACUGGGAUAACUUCGGGAAACCGGAGCUAAUACCGGAUAAUCUUUUGAACCGCAUGGUUCAAAAGUGACAGACGGUCUUGCUGUCACUUAUAGAUGGAUCCGCGCUGCAUUAGCUAGUUGGUAAGGUAACGGCUUACCAAGGCAACGAUGCAUAGCCGACCUGAGAGGGUGAUCGGCCACACUAGAACUGAGCCACGGUCCAGACUCAUACGGGAGGCAGCAGUAGGGAAUCUUCCGCAAUGGGCGAAAGCCUGACGGAGCAACGCCGCGUGGGUGAUGAAGGUCUUCGGAUCGUAAAGCUCUGUUAUUAGGGAAGAACAUAUGUGUAAGUAACUGUGCACAUCUUGACGGUACCUAAUCAGAAAGCCACGGCGAACUACGUG